rnacentral:pre_miRNA from 10 species
UGUGACCUUUGAGUUUCCCUUUGUCAUCCUAUGCCUGGGGCAUCCAAUAAGGCAGGGACAGCAAAGGGACGCUCAGCUGUCACCCCUGAC